rnacentral:ncRNA from 1 species
AUGGCCCAUACCGAAAAGCCACAACAGAGUAGGUG